AUAACGCUGGCGGCGUGCCUAACACAUGCAAGUCGCACGUCCUCUGGUGCUUCGGUACCGGAGGGAGUGGCGGACGGGUGAGUAACACGUGGGUGACCUACCCUUUGGUGAGGAAUACCGGCGAGAAAUCGCCGACAAGACCGCAUAGGCUCUCGCAGGAGAGCAAAGCUGCUGACGCGAGUCAGCAGCGCCAGAGGAUGGGCCUGCGGCCGAUUAGCUAGUUGGUGGGGUAAGGGCUCACCAAGGCGACGAUCGGUAGCUGGUCUGAGAGGACGAUCAGCCACACUGGGAUUGAGAACGGCCCAGACUCCUACGGGGGGCAGCAGUGAGGAAUUUUCCGCAAUGGAGGCAACUCUGACGGAGCAACGCCGCGUGCAGGACGACGCGUUUCGGCGUGUAAACUGCUUUUCUGGGGGACGAGGACGGACGGUACCCCAGGAAGAAGCCCCGGCUAACUACGUGCCAGCAGCCGCGGUAAUACGUAGGGGGCGAGCGUUGUCC
rnacentral:rRNA from 1 species